CCUACGGGGGGCUGCAGUGAGGAAUAUUGGUCAAUGGCCGGAAGGCUGAACCAGCCAUGCCGCGUGAAGGUCAGUGCCCUAUGGGCGUUAAACUUCUUUUGUGCGGGAGCAAUAAUGGUCACGUGUGGCCAGACGAGAGUACCGUACGAAUAAGCAUCGGCUCACUCCGUGCCAGCAGCCGCGGUAAUACGGGGGAUGCAAGCGUUAUCCGGAUUUAUUGGGUUUAAAGGGUGCGUAGGCUGUGAGGUAAGUCAGCGGUGAAAUGCCCCCGCUCAACGGGGUGAAGUGCCAUUGAUACUGCCUGGCUGGAAUGCGGAUGCCGUGGGAGGAAUGUGUGGUGUAGCGGUGAAAUGCAUAGAUAUCACACAGAACACCGAUUGCGAAGGCAUCUCACGAAGCCGCGAUUGACGCUGAUGCACGAAAGCGUGGGUAUCAAACAGGAUUAGAUACCCUAGUAGUC
rnacentral:rRNA from 1 species